GAUGAACGCUGGCGGCGUGCUUAACACAUGCAAGUCGAACGAAGCAUUUGCGACAGAUUUUUUCGGAAUGAAGUUGCUUAUGACUGAGUGGCGGACGGGUGAGUAACGCGUGGGUAACCUGCCUUGUACUGGGGGAUAGCAGCUGGAAACGGCUGGUAAUACCGCAUAAGCGCACAAUGUUGCAUGACAUGGUGUGAAAAACUCCGGUGGUAUAAGAUGGACCCGCGUCUGAUUAGCUAGUUGGUGAGAUAACAGCCCACCAAGGCGACGAUCAGUAGCCGACCUGAGAGGGUGACCGGCCACAUUGGGACUGAGACACGGCCCAGACUCCUACGGGAGGCAGCAGUGGGGAAUAUUGCACAAUGGAGGAAACUCUGAUGCAGCGACGCCGCGUGAGUGAAGAAGUAAUUCGUUAUGUAAAGCUCUAUCAGCAGGGAAGAUAGUGACGGUACCUGACUAAGAAGCGCCGGCUAAAUACGUG
rnacentral:rRNA from 1 species